rnacentral:rRNA from 1 species
GGGAUUGCCCCAGUAACGGCGAGUGAAGCGGCAACAGCUCAAAUUUGAAAUCUGGCCCCCCCCCCCGGGGGGCCCGAGUUGUAAUUUGCAGAGGAUGCUUUGGGCGAGGCGCCUUCCGAGUUCCCUGGAACGGGACGCCACAGAGGGUGAGAGCCCCGUCUGGUCGGACGCCGAGCCUCUGUAAAGCUCCUUCGACGAGUCGAGUAGUUUGGGAAUGCUGCUCAAAAUGGGAGGUAUAUGUCUUCUAAAGCUAAAUACCGGCCAGAGACCGAUAGCGCACAAGUAGAGUGAUCGAAAGAUGAAAAGCACCUUGAAAAGGGGGUUAAACAGUACGUGAAAUUGUUGAAAGGGAAGCGCUCGUGACCAGACUUGGGGCGGGCGGAUCAGCCGGCGUUCUCGCCGGCGCACUCCGCCCGUCCCAGGCCAGCAUCAGUUCGCGCCGGGGGACAAAGGCGGCGGGAACGUGGCUCCCCAGGGAGUGUUAUAGCCCGCCGCGCCAUGCCCCGGGGGCGGACUGAGGGCCGCGCAUCACUGCAAGGAUGCUGGCGUAAUGGUCACCAGCGACCCGUCUUGAAACACGGGCCAAGGAGUCGUCCUCGUAUGCGAGUGUUCGGGUGUCAAACCCCUACGCGGAAUGAAAGUGAACGUGGGUGAGAGCUUCGGCGCAUCAUCGACCGAUCCUGAUGUUCUCGGAUGGAUUUGAGUAGGAGCAUACGGGGCCGGACCCGAAAGAAGGUGAACUAUGCCUGUGUAGGGUGAAGCCAGAGGAAACUCUGGUGGAGGCUCGCAGCGGUUCUGACGUGCAAAUCGAUCGUCAAACAUGGGCAUGGGGGCGAAAGACUAAUCGAA